AGGUGUAGGGGUUGUCAUGACCUCUGUGCCGCCGCUAACGCAUUAAGUAUUCCGCCUGGGGAGUACGGUCGCAAGAUUAAAACUCAAAGGAAUUGACGGGGGCCCGCACAAGCAGUGGAGCAUGUGGUUUAAUUCGAAGCAACGCGAAGAACCUUACCUAGACUUGACAUCUCCUGCAUUACCCUUAAUCGGGGAAGUCGCUUCGGCGACAGGAAGACAGGUGGUGCAUGGUUGUCGUCAGCUCGUGUCGUGAGAUGUUGGGUUAAGUCCCGCAACGAGCGCAACCCUUAUUGUUAGUUGCUACCAUUUAGUUGAGCACUCUAGCGAGACUGCCCGGGUUAACCGGGAGGAAGGUGGGGAUGACGUCAAAUCAUCAUGCCCCUUAUGUCUAGGGCUACACACGUGCUACAAUGGCAAGUACAAAGAGAAGCAAGACCGCGAGGUGGAGCAAAACUCAAAAACUUGUCUCAGUUCGGAUUGUAGGCUGAAACUCGCCUACAUGAAGCUGGAGUUGCUAGUAAUC
rnacentral:rRNA from 1 species